AAAAAUGCCAGCUGAGUUACGUCUGUGUGCACAGGCGCGUCAGAGGCCGGCUAGAGCGCGACUGGUUGAGUUCCCAGAGCGAUCUGGGUGAUUAGCAGUCAUACAGUC
rnacentral:snoRNA from 11 species